UUGAUAAGGGUGGGGCUCAUACCCCCCUAAACAGGGCUACAACCUGCCGCCUACCUCGGCCACCU
rnacentral:tRNA from 1 species